GUAAUUUUUGUUCAAAACGCGCAAUAAAUUACAUCAAUUCACUAAAUUUAAAGUGUGAUUAAUUUGCUCGAACACAGAAUGGGCUAUCAGAGCAAUAGAUAAGAUAUGGCUCUUUCAGUCACUCCAAAAUCAAUUUUGUUGUAUAAAAGAGUGAGACACGCUGGUAAUAAGUAGCUGAAAAAAUCGUUUUCUCUGCAAUUUAGUUCAAAAGUUCAAGAUGAAAUUCGCUGCAUUUUUAAUCGUAUCGUGCUUGUGCGUUUAUGCUUCGUGUACUCGGGAGACAGUAUGGGGAAAUGCAAAUACUAACACUGGUGUUCGAGACAUUGGUACCGAAACCAUCAACGUUCCAUCCACUAUCUGGACUGUCAAAACGCAUAAGUUUACCUUUCCAAGAGGCGAAGUUCAAUUGACCGUCCCGAUCGCCGGUAUCAAACACGUUGACUACAAAUCACAUACAACCUCAGUUGCAAUCUUAGCCGGUGGCGUUGGCUUCCGUAAUGCCACCAUUGAAAUUACAUCACAAAGAGGACACGGAAUCAACUCCGAAUUUACUUUUUAUGCCCGUGUUUAAAAGUGUUUCUUGAACUCAACUUGCAGUUGAAUUCAACAUUUAUUUUGAAUAAUCUUGCAUGAUACAAAAUAGCAUGAUUCAUGUCAAACCUUUUUCAUAAAAAAUAGGUUAAUAAUAGUGAUUUUUAAACUUUUGAUAAUCAUUAAAUUGUCAUCAAUUGUACUUUCACAUGAAUGAAAAUAAUGUAUUCAAACUCGAAUUUUUUAAAUAAUAAAAAUGCUUUUUUGAUUGAA